AGGUCGCUUUGACUAUUACCAGUCUGUUCUGCAUGUAUCGACAGCUCGCGGGGCAAACAAAGUCAAAUUGUUCAAAAAGUUUGCUAAGGAAGCUAUGUGUUCCCGUGACAUAAGUGAUAACCACUUGCUUCGUAAUCCGUAGGACUAAUCCAGAUAUAGAAAUCCGCGUGGAUAUUCCUAGGGGAGAGCAAAAGUAUCAAACGCACGCUCAAUAUCACCGAUAUCGUCUUAUGCUGGAACUUGCCUGUUGAACGAAAAACGUGGAUGUGUAUAUUAUUCAUUCAAUCUGGAUUUAUCUAAUGUCCUGUGUUUACCUCCCUUUCAGGAUCCCGAGAAGACCGACGUCUGUGUGGUAUGAACAGCUGCUCUCUGCGAGAUACAGAUACAACCGGAAGUGAUGUGGUGUCCAAAGUCCCUCUCUUCUCUACCCAUGGAUGACAACUGGGAAAGGGGACCACGUGAUGCGUGGUAUGGUGGCAAGAGACCUUCCAGGUCUCAUGUGUGAUGGCCAAGCUCUUGAUGGUUAUCUUUAAUGAAGAUACCUUAGCUGUUAGCUGUGUAAAGCAAGAUAAAGAUAUACUGUUUGACGUCUUCAAAGACUUUUAAAACUGAAAUCAGUUAUGACGUAAAAUAGUCUUCUGUAUCAUAACUAGUUAUCUACGCAUUGCUAGAGGAACUUUAUUUUUUAAAAAUCUGUAUUAUAACUGUG